GACGAACGCUGGCGGCGUGCCUAAUACAUGCAAGUUGAGCGAUGAAGAUUGGUGCUUGCACCAAUUUGAAGAGCAGCGAACGGGUGAGUAACGCGUGGGGAAUCUGCCUUUGAGCGGGGGACAACAUUUGGAAACGAAUGCUAAUAUCGCAUAACAACUUUAAACAUAAGUUUUAAGUUUGAAAGAUGCAAUUGCAUCACUCAAAGAUGAUCCCGCGUUGUAUUAGCUAGUUGGUGAGGUAAAGGCUCACCAAGGCGAUGAUACAUAGCCGACCUGAGAGGGUGAUCGGCCACAUUGGGACUGAGACACGGCCCAAACUCCUACGGGAGGCAGCAGUAGGGAAUCUUCGGGAAUGGAAGAAAGUCUGACCGAGCAACGCCGCGUGAGUGAAGAAGGUUUUCGGGUCGUAAAACUCUGUUGGUAGAGAAGAACGUUGGUGAGAGUGGAAAGCUCAUCAAGUGACGGUAACUACCCAGAAAGGGACGGCUAACUACGUG
rnacentral:rRNA from 1 species